rnacentral:rRNA from 1 species
AUUGAACGCUGGCGGCAUGCCUUACACAUGCAAGUCGAACGGCAGCAUGGAGAGCUUGCUCUCUGAUGGCGAGUGGCGAACGGGUGAGUAAUGCAUCGGAACGUACCGUGUAAUGGGGGAUAACGUAGCGAAAGUUACGCUAAUACCGCAUACGACCUGAGGGUGAAAGCAGGGGAUCGCAAGACCUUGCGUUAUACGAGCGGCCGAUGUCAGAUUAGCUAGUUGGUAGGGUAAAGGCCUACCAAGGCGACGAUCUGUAGCGGGUCUGAGAGGAUGAUCCGCCACACUGGGACUGAGACACGGCCCAGACUCCUACGGGAGGCAGCAGUGGGGAAUUUUGGACAAUGGGGGAAACCCUGAUCCAGCCAUGCCGCGUGAGUGAAGAAGGCCUUCGGGUUGUAAAGCUCUUUCGGCCGGGAAGAAAUCGCACAGGCUAAUACUCUGUGUGGAUGACGGUACCGGCAUAAGAAGCACCGGCUAACUACGUG